rnacentral:rRNA from 1 species
AGGACGAACGCUGGCGGCGUGCUUAACACAUGCAAGUCGAACGGAAAGGCCCGCUUGCGGGUACUCGAGUGGCGAACGGGUGAGUAACACGUGGGCAACCUGCCCUCAGCUUCGGGAUAACACUUGGAAACAGGUGCUAAUACUGGAUAAUAACCUUUCAUCGCAUGGUGUGGGGUUCAAAGUUUUUCGGCUGGGGAUGGGCCCGCGGCCUAUCAGCUUGUUGGUGGGGUAAUGGCCUACCAAGGCGACGACGGGUAGCCGGCCUGAGAGGGCGACCGGCCACACUGGGACUGAGACACGGCCCAGACUCCUACGGGAGGCAGCAGUGGGGAAUAUUGCGCAAUGGGCGGAAGCCUGACGCAGCGACGCCGCGUGAGGGAUGACGGCCUUCGGGUUGUAAACCUCUUUCAGCUCUGACGAAGCGCAAGUGACGGUAGGAGCAGAAGAAGCACCGGCCAACUACGUGCCAGCAGCCGCGGUAA